CUGGGACUUGUAGUAAGCUGUAGAUUUCUCUUAGCACGCGGGAGGGAGACCGGGGAACCUACGCACGCUUUGUUGCCCAAACUGCACCUCCCGCCCCAAACUCUGGUGUUAACCAGACCUUCUCUUGGAAGGAAAAUCCUUGAGUUAAGCCGGUCCAGGGUUGGAACAGGAGAUUUGGAGAAACUCGGCUGAAGUCUUUUUCCACUUUUAAGCCCUACCAUGGCCGUUCCCGAGACCCGCCCCAACCACACUAUUUAUAUCAACAACCUCAAUGAGAAGAUCAAGAAAGAUGAGCUGAAGAAGUCCCUGUAUGCCAUCUUCUCCCAGUUUGGCCAGAUCUUGGAUAUCCUGGUAUCACGGAGCCUGAAGAUGAGGGGCCAGGCCUUUGUCAUCUUUAAGGAGGUCAGCAGCGCCACCAACGCCCUGCGCUCCAUGCAAGGUUUCCCCUUCUACGACAAGCCCAUGCGCAUCCAGUAUGCCAAGACCGACUCAGAUAUUAUUGCCAAGAUGAAGGGUACUUUUGUGGAGCGGGACCGCAAGCGGGAGAAGAGGAAGCCCAAGAGCCAAGAGACGCCAUCUGCCAAGAAGGCUGUGCAGGGUGGGGCGGCUGCCCCUGUGGUGGGAGCUGUCCAGGGCCCUGUCCCGGGCAUGCCACCAAUGACUCAGGCACCCCGCAUCAUGCACCACAUGCCGGGCCAGCCGCCUUACAUGCCGCCUCCUGGCAUGAUCCCGCCUCCAGGCCUUGCACCAGGCCAGAUGCCCCCUGGGGCGAUGCCCCCGCAGCAGCUUAUGCCAGGGCAGAUGCCGCCUGCCCAGCCUCUGUCAGAGAAUCCACCGAAUCACAUCCUGUUCCUCACCAACCUGCCGGAGGAGACCAAUGAGCUCAUGUUGUCUAUGCUUUUCAACCAAUUCCCUGGCUUCAAGGAGGUCCGCCUGGUGCCUGGUCGGCAUGAUAUCGCCUUCGUGGAGUUUGACAACGAGGUGCAGGCAGGAGCAGCUCGUGAUGCCCUGCAGGGCUUUAAGAUCACUCAGAACAACGCCAUGAAGAUCUCCUUUGCCAAGAAGUAGCGCCUUGUCCCCAGGUCUACCCCUGCCUUUGUUCUGGGGCCUCCCCUCCCCUCUUUGGCUCAGUCCCUUAAGACCAUGGGUAACGAAUCACAAAGUGAAACCAUGGAUGGGAGGUACUGUACAGCAAAAAUGACAUGUCUCCAAUGACAGUAUUACAAAGACUGGCUUAUUUCUUGCUUUGGUGGAGCCAGCUCCCUGUUGCUGUUUAUGAAGAUACAUGGGGCAAGAAGCUGAGAGAAGCCUCCAGCCCACAGGCAGUGAGCCUUCAGAUGAGACUGCAACCCUGGAUGACAAGUUGAUCGGAGCCAGGUAGGAGACCCUGAGCCAAAGGCACUCAGCUGGAUCCAGGUUUCCACACAAAUGCUGAUAAUUUGGUUUUAAGCUCCUACAUUUUGGAAUAAUUUUAUAGAGAUGGGCUGACCUCCAACUGAUGGAGAUCUUCCUACCUCAGCUUCCUGAGUGCCGGGGUUACAAGUAUGCACCAUUGGACCUGGCCCUUCAAUUUAUUUAAUAGCUGCUUCUAAGGUGAUGAAGAGUAUCCAUGUGAAUUAAUAGAAUAAAGAUCUUAGUGAAUGCACUGUAACUAUGUGCCUUCAUUAUUGCCCUCAUUUUGCACAUGAGGAAGGUGAAGCUAUGAGAGGAGGGAGGCAUAGUUUACUGCACGUCAUCCCUCAGGAAGUGGCCCGGGGCGGGGUGGUGGUGGUGGUGAAUAGUGAGCUGGGACAUUCCCUAUCCUAAGGCCUAACAUGUAAUAUUCACCAGUACCUGAGAGCUGGGGCAGUUUUGGUAAUCAAAAGGCUGCCUUGUUCUGUCCCUCAGCACAGGAAAUUCCAGGGUGGUUUUCCAUACCAGCUCCUCUGGUUCUGUCCCAGGAGGGGAGAAUGGAGUCCUCUUAAUACCUAAGCUGACUCCAGAGAAGAUGGAAUCACAUAUCUCAAACUGUCUGUCCUGGGCUCUGAUUGUUGAGUGGGUAGCUGUCCCUUGGAGCGGCUUGGGUUGCCCUGGGUCUAUCUGUGUAUUUUCUUGGACAGAUGGACCUCACCCUGUCCUUGAAAUGGUUCUGGCUGGAUAGCAGCCUCUAGAUGGUGUGGGCGAAAUUUGGGACUGGUGUUGGGUGGAGACAAGAGAACACAGGUUUCCUUGUGCCUCUGGAGAGAGGGAGCAGGAGGAAAUGAGACCCCAUUCCACACUUGGUCAUUCUUGCUCACAGUCCAUGAUGGUGUGGUCCCCAGUGCUCCUUGGUGCCAUUGUUUUGUUGUCUGCUCUCCCAGGCCCUAGUGGGGCAUGCUGCCUCAUGCCCAAGCUGGCUGACCGGAAGCUGUGUGCUGAUGCGGAAUGCAGUCGUAAGAGGGGAGCUGGGGGCUGGGGUUUGCUGGUUGGUGUGUGGGGUGCUGUCCUUCCCUUUUAUUACUUCUGCAGACCCCAUUUCAAUGGCUGUGGCCCUUCAAGACUAUGUGGCUCCGGACUGCCGUUUCCUGACCAUACAUAGGGGCCAAAUUGUGUUCAGGGAGAUUACUACGCAGACCUGCCGGCUCACCUAGGCUAUUUCCCCAGUAGCAUUGUUCGAGAAGGCCAGACUCUGAAACCUGGCAAAAUUGAUGUGAAGACAGAUAAAUGGGAUUUCUGCUGUCAGUGAGCUCAGCCUUCCACUCUUCUGCUGUUUCCCUCCAGGCCUUAUGCAAAUACACUGAGUGCAAACUG